rnacentral:misc_RNA from 1 species
AAAGUCGUAACAAGGUUUCCGUAGGUGAACCUGCGGAAGGAUCAUUAACAAAUCUUUACACACGAUCUCCUUCUCCUUCGGGAAAGGAGACUCGACACACGAUUAAGGUUGACAAACAUUGAGACAAUCAAUUAAAAACAACUUUUAACAAUGGAUCUCUUGGCUCUU